rnacentral:rRNA from 1 species
AACGCUGGCCGGCGUGCCAUAAUACAUGCAAAUCCGAGCGGAGAAUUACUUGGAAAGGAUUUAUCUGGAAAAGCAAUUUUAGCGGCGGACGGGUGAGUAACGCGUGAGCAAUCUGGCCUUUACAGGGCGAUAACACAGGGAAACUUGUACUAAUACCGCAUACUAUUAUUUAAUCGCAUGAUUGAGUGAUGAAAGUGGAAACACGGUAAAGGGGGAGCUCGCGUUCUAUUAGAUAGUUGGUGGGGUAACGGCCUACCAAGUCAACGAUAGAUAGCCGACCUGAGAGGGUGAUCGGCCACACUGGAACUGAGACACGGUCCAGACUCCUACGGGAGGCAGCAGUGGGGAAUAUUGCACAAUGGAGGAAACUCUGAUGCAGCGACGCCGCGUGAGCGAAGAAGGCCUUCGGGUUGUAAAGCUCUGUCCUUGGUGAAGAUAAUGACGGUAGCCAAGGAGGAAGCCCCGGCUAACUACGUGCCAGCAGCCGCGGUAAUACGUAGGGGGCGAGCGUUGUCCGGAAUUAUUGGGCGUAAAGGGUACGUAGGCGGUUAUGUGGGUCUGUAUUAAAAGGCAUUGGCUCAACCAAUGUUCGGUAUGGAAACUGCAUAACUUGAGUAGAUGAGGGGUAAGUGGAAUUCCUAGUGUAGCGGUGAAAUGCUUAGAUAUUAGGAGGAAUACCAGUGGCGAAGGCGACUUACUGGAAUCUAACUGACGCUGAGGUACGAAAGCGUGGGGAGCAAACAGGAUUAGAUACCCUGGUAGUCCACGCAGUAAACGAUGAGUGCUAGGUGUCGGGAGUCAAAUCUCGGCGCCGCCGCUAACGCAU